UUGUUUUUGGAGGAAGAAAACUGGGAUAUGAGCUUAAUAGUAGAAGGAAUCAGAAAAAUUAAGAGCAUUUCAUGACAGCUGUUGAGUUCUCCAUGGAUCAUCCUUAUGGAAAAGCUGUAGCAUUGAUGAACUUCAAGUCUGGCAUUAUAGAGAUAAGUGAAGAAGAAUCACCCCAUGAUUAUAUUGGCUUUUCUACUUUCUCAAAGUUCAAGCAACAAUG